UACAGAGGGUGCAAGCGUUGUUCGGAAUCACUGGGUUUAAAGGGUGCGUAGGCGGUCCUAUAAGUCAGUGGUGAAAUAUCGCAGCUCAACUGUGAGGGUGCCAUUGAUACUGUAGGACUUGAGUGAAUUUGAGGUAGGCGGAAUUGACGGUGUAGCGGUGAAAUGCUUAGAUAUCGUCAAGAACACCGAUAGUGAAGACAGCUUACCAAGCUUCAACUGACGCUGAGGCACGAAAGUGUGGGGAUCAAACAGG
rnacentral:rRNA from 1 species